rnacentral:lncRNA from 1 species
UUGAAGAUAGCAAAGGGUGCAUGGAAUUCUUCACGGAUAUCUUGCGGUGUAGCAUCUUCGUCCAUAGGUUCGGGUUGCUCAAUUGGAGCUCUAGAAGUAGUGCCGGGUCUUGUCUUCGUUCGUCCCAUGACUGAGCUAAUGAUGGACAAAUAAGGGUUAUGGCGGAACGACUGAAAAUCACUCCAACGGUUGGAGUGGGCUUACUGAUGUGCGGAUGAGUCUGGUGGACGGGGACAAGGGUGGCACUGACAAAGAGGCGCUGACGGCGGCUGAAUUCAGGCCAGAGUAAGAGCUAUGCGCAGGAUGCGCCGGAGCAGCAGAUCUGGAGUGCAACGGUAAAAAAGUCGCGCUGUGUGUGGAGCUAGGCGUCUGAAUCUAGUGACGCGCUGGGUGGCUGACCUGCUCGGAGACGGGAGCGGAAAAGAGACCGUCUGAAGACAGAUAGUGAGGAGGAACAACGGCGAGCAACUGAUAGUGGCCGGAGGUAGGCGGUGGCGACUGGAGAAUUCAAGGCUGCGCCUUUUUCAGCCGACUGAUUCACGCAGAGAUCGGCGCUGAGCAGCGGCGAAUGGCAGCUCUAUUGUCGACGGCGAGGAACUGAUAGAUGAGAGAGAUGGACGACGGUGGAGAGGCGUUCGGUGGCGAGGAGGGACGGCGCGAACCUUCGCGCUGAACUGUGACGAAAUGUUGAAGUCGGCUGAGAGGGAUGGCCGACAAGUGGAGUCCAGCGGCGAGAUGGCUGAUGGUGGUCGGAAAACGGCGGUGACAGUGGCUGGAGAAAGUGAGCGGCGGAUGGAUGUGAAGACGUGGGAGGAGAGUUGGUAGAUUCAAACUAGGGCUCCACUCCUCUUUUCUUUCUCACGAUAUUUCAGUUUUUUUUUUUUCUUUUCUUUUUUUAUUUAAGGAAGUCAGCCAGGCUGACUAGUCACCCCCGGCGCGCACUGCAAUCUGCCCAUUUUCACCUCUAUUUGCUUAAACGCGAGUCAACCAGGAUGACCAGUGCCCCCCGGCGCACUCUGCGUUCUGCCCAGAUUUUGGAUUUUGCGCCAACCAGGCUGUCUGCGAGCCGAGGCUCGCUCUGAAAUAAUUCCAAAUUUCGAAUUUGCCAACUUUUAUUCCAUCAACUUUAUCUCCUUUCCAAACCAAUAAAACUUCAUAGAAAC